AAGAGUCCAUAUCGACGGGGCGGUUUGGCACCUCGAUGUCGGCUCACCGCAUCCUGGGGCUGAAGCAGGUCCCAAGGGUUGGUCUGUUCGCCCAUUAAAGCGGUACGCGAGCUGGGUUUAGAACGUCGUGAGACAGUUCGGGCCCUAUCCGUCGUGGGUGUUAGAUAUUUGAAGGGAGCUGUUCCUAGUACGAGAGGACCGGAAUGGACAAACCUCUAGUGUGCUGGUUGUGAUGCCAAUUGCAUUGCCAGGUAGCUAUGUUUGGAAAGGAUAACCGCUGAAAGCAUCUAAGCGGGAAGCCAACCCUGAAACAAGAUAUCUCUUCUCCCCUCGGGGAGACUGAAGACUCCUUGAAGAUUACAAGGUUGAUAGGCCAGAUGUGUAAGCACAGCAAUGUGUUCAGCUAACUGGUACUAAUAAGUCGUGAGGCUUGACCUUAU
rnacentral:rRNA from 1 species